UUGCCGUUUUUUAUAGGCAAUUUUGGUCUGGUCUUUGGUCACGUUUUCACCUCCCACUUACGGCUCGGUGUUAUAUCCAGCCUGGGGAACUGCCGUUGGCUGGUGCACGAUCAUCUUCUGCGUCAUCUGGAUUCCCAUCGCCGCUAUUCUAAAAAUAGUUAAAGCUGAAGGAAACCUUUGUCAGCGCAUUGUAAGCUGUUGCAGGCCCGCUGCAAACUGGGGUCCCUACCUGGAAUGUAACAGAGGAGAAAGAUACAGCCAUGUCGUAGAUUCCAAAAAGGAAAAGGAACACGAGAUUCCUACCGUGUCUGGCUUCGUAUACACUCAACAAUGAGAUGGCCAUUUGGAUGACAAAUUUUUAACCUACGUGUGCUUUUUUUCUUUAAUUAUUAGAAAGUGACUGUGCAAAACAACAACAACAAAAAGCAAAUCAACCCCCUGCCCUUCAAAACCCUGCCCCCAAAUGAAAGCCAGCUGUAUUAUUUAUUUUUGGUGCCGUAUGCUUGGGGAGGAAUAGCUAAAUUAGACACUGAGAUCUCCCCAGAGAUUUAGGUGGAGAGGGCAGGAAAAUGCAUUGCAGGCUUGCCAGGCUGAUGGACUGGACACGCUUAACCCCAUCCAACCAGUAUCCAGCUGGACUGCAGAUACGGUUGUAGAAGAGAAUAAAGACACAUUCUGGUGCUUCCCAGCUACAGGAAAUUUGAGCCAAAAGGUGCUGUGCUUGCAUGCCCCAAUGUGCUAUGGGCAGUUACUACCUUCUGCUGUGCUUUGCCACCCACAGUGGUGUGAGGUUGGCAGAGAGGUGAAUGGGUGUGCUGCUGCCUGGGACUGUAGCUCAGGGAACAGGAAUAAUUUUGCUCUGUCUAAGCCUUGCCCAGUGCUGUGAGGCUGCUCAGGAUUUGAUGUUGACUACAGUGUGUGUGUGUUUUGUCUGUGCAUCUAAAUACUGAGUGGCAAAAAAUUGCCACCACAGGAAAUAAGGCCUUAACAUGGUGAAGAGCAGGCUUCCUUCUAUUUCUCAUUAUUCCCCUUGGGAUCCCCAAAGAGCCAUCUUCUGUGUCAUGCCCCAUGCUCAGCAUUCAUCUGUCUGUAAUUCAAAAAUCCUAUGUUUCCAUACCCUGUUAUUAGGCUCUGCAGAAUGAAAUAGUAACUAUUGAAUUCUGUUACAUCUGCUCUCCUACACUCACCAAGGCUUUACCUAUCAGUUUGUUUUCUGCAUCUUUCACUCAGGCUUGGGUUUUCCUUUCCAAAGGAGACUCAAAGUGCUUUUUAAAGACUCAGUGUUGUCAGUGUUGCAGUAGAGCCAAAAGAAGCAGAACUUUACCCCGAGUGAAGGUUACAACUGCCUUGUAGCGCUGUUACUCCAAAACUUGCUGAAAUCAUGAGAUUAUUGAAAACAUAGGAAAUUUGUAAUGCAUUUGGGAACACAGACUUACGCUCCUACCUAGGCAGGAGGGGGUUAGUUUAAGAGAACCUGACUUCACUCGUAAUACAAGUGAAUUCCUCAUAAAGGAAAAAAAGAUCUAUGGAUUGAAUGAAUACAUUUUGUAUGCUGAGGAACAUCUCUCAUACUGUGAUAAUGCUUCCUUGGGAACAGCGCAGCAGGGUUUCUAGCUGUCACUUCCUCUCAGGGCUUUGUCACUCUUUCUGGACAUGAAGGAGUGUGGAUAGUGGCUUGUUGCCCAAGCUGCAUACCUUGGUGUAUGUUUUAUACUGGUGUUUUUGUGACAAAUCAACACUUUAUGGCAAAUAAAAUGUGAUUUUCUGUUUUUAA